rnacentral:rRNA from 1 species
GACGCAGUUGUCUGGUCUGCCUAACGGUAAGUACCGGUUAACUGUGUCUUCCUUUCUGGAAAUUCUGGCUGUUCUUUAUUGAGUGGUCAGAAAAACCAGGACUUUUACUUUGAAAAAAUUAGAGUGUUCAAAGCAGGCUUACGCUUGAAUACAUUAGCAUGGAAUAAUAAAAUAGGACGGUGGUCCUGUUUUGUUGGUUUCUGAAUCACCGUA